rnacentral:rRNA from 1 species
AACGCUGGCGGCGCGCUUAACACAUGCAAGUCGAGCGAGAACCAGGACUUCGGUCUUGGAGACAGCGGCGAACGGGUGAGUAACACGUGGGUAAUCUGCCCUCGGUUCUGGGAUAGCCCGGGGAAACUCGGAUUAAUACCGGAUAGCCUCUCUGGCCCUCGGGCCGGUGAGAAAAGGUAGCUUCGGCCUCCGACUGAGGAUGAGCCCGCGGCGGAUUAGCUUGUUGGCGGGGCAACGGCCCACCAAGGCGACGAUCCGUAGCUGGUCUGAGAGGACGGUCAGCCACACUGGGACUGAGACACGGCCCAGACUCCUACGGGAGGCAGCAGUGGGGAAUCUUGCGCAAUGGGCGAAAGCCUGACGCAGCGACGCCGCGUGAGGGAAGAAGGCCUUCGGGUUGUAAACCCCUGUCGGAGGGAACGAAACCUUCCGGUGUGAAUAACGCCGGGGCUUGACGGUACCCUCAAAGGAAGCACCGGCUAACUACGUGCCAGCAGCCGCGGUAA